rnacentral:rRNA from 1 species
GAUGAACGCUGGCGGCGUGCCUAAUACAUGCAAGUCGAGCGGACCAAAGAGAGCUUGCUCUCUGAGGUUAGCGGCGGACGGGUGAGUAACACGUGGGUAACCUGCCUGUAAGACGGGGAUAACUUCGGGAAACCGAAGCUAAUACCGGAUGAUAAAGAGAAACGCCUGUUUCUUUUUUGAAAGUCGGCCUUGUGCUGACGCUUACAGAUGGGCCCGCGGCGCAUUAGCUAGUUGGUGAGGUAACGGCUCACCAAGGCGACGAUGCGUAGCCGACCUGAGAGGGUGAUCGACCACACUGGGACUGAGACACGGCCCAGACUCCUACGGGAGGCAGCAGUAGGGAAUCUUCGGCAAUGGACGAAAGUCUGACCGAGCAACGCCGCGUGAGCGAUGAAGGCCUUCGGGUCGUAAAGCUCUGUUGUCAGAGAAGAACAAGUACCGGAGUAACUGCCGGUACCUUGACGGUACCUGACCAGAAAGCCACGGCUAACUACGUGCCAGCCGCCGCGGUAACAC